rnacentral:snoRNA from 1 species
AUUUUGCUUAUUAUUCCCCAUGUGGCAGGCUUGAAAUUCAGUGAAACUGUGAUAAAACAACACUGGUGGUGGUCGUAAAGGAGGAAACGUAAUAGUGAAGCUGGCCCCACAGUACUUAUAGUCUGUGGGCUAGUUUCAAACAAGG